GCCGCCGCCCCUCGGCGCGGAACGGCUCGGCAGGCACUCACCACGCAUUUCUUGCCGAGGAAGCUGAAGAGGCUCUCGUUCUCUUGCGGGUGAUGCCAGUUCAUAACAAGUAUGUUGGAAGUGACAUACUGAUAUCAAUAUAAACAAGUGUCAUGAUUUUACAGGUCAUACAGUGUGGUACUCUUAUUUUCCAAAAGGUGAAGCGACAGUUGAUUACACUUGAAGAACUUGAAGAUUAAAGGGAAAUGAAAUUUUAAAAUGAAAAAUAAAUCCUAACUAACUUCUAUCUUCAAUCUCAUAUUCAGUGGCAAGUGAAACAGUAUAAAACAGGCACAAACAUCACUGCAGCAACCACAUAAACAUGGCUGGGGGAGAUCACAAUUGUGAAUGUAUAAUCAGUGUCACCACACUCAGGGAGCGUGUCAACAGGGUGGCAGAAGAACAGACCAAAAAAAAAGGAAAGGCUCCUUUCCCUCAGCACCCUUUCUGGAUGGGCCUGUAGAAAUCACUAAUCCAUUUACUGCGAAACCACUUGUGGUCACCAAAAAAAGAGAAGUCGCAUUGUGGUUGAAAAUGGUGUUUGAACUGUGAAGAUACAAGUUCUCUUUUUCAAUAAGCCACGUUAUUUUUUCUACAUAGACCUCAUUUAAGAGAAUUGGGCUUAAAUUGUUACUGAAUCAGUGACAAAUAGCAUAUUAGCUAUUUUACUCAGAAGGUGUUCCUUCACUUCUACUGUCUAUAUACUGAACCAAGAAGCAUUCAGGAAUCCUAGCCUGCUCUGAAGGGAACUGGAUCAUCAGGUUGCAGGUUGUUUCAGGUCCAGUCACUGUAUAUCAUUUUUCUCUGAGAUUUUAUAUCAUUUGUUUCAGGUGGGUAACAGCCUGGAAUAAAGAGGAUCUGAAGUC